rnacentral:rRNA from 1 species
GUCCAGACUCCUACGGGAGGCAGCAGUGAGGAAUAUUGGUCAAUGGGCGGGAGCCUGAACCAGCCAAGUCGCGUGAGGGAAGACGGUCCUACGGAUUGUAAACCUCUUUUGCCGGGGAGCAACGGGGUCCUUGCGAGGGCCCGAUGAGAGUACCCGGAGAAAAAGCAUCGGCUAACUCCGUGCCAGCAGCCGCGGUAAUACGGAGGAUGCGAGCGUUAUCCGGAUUUAUUGGGUUUAAAGGGUGCGUAGGCGGGCUGUUAAGACCGGGGACAAAUGGCGGGGCUCACCCCCGGCCCGCCGUUGAAACUGGCAGUCUCGAGUUGGAGAGAAGUAUGCGGAAUGCGCGGUGUAGCGGUGAAAUGCAUAGAUAUCGCGCAGAACUCCGAUUGCGAAGGCAGCAUGCCGGCUCCACACUGACGCUGAGGCACGAAAGCGUGGGUAUCGAACAGGAUUAGAUACCCGAGUAAA